rnacentral:rRNA from 1 species
GUGGGGAAUCUUGCGCAAUGGGCGAAAGCCUGACGCAGCCAUGCCGCGUGAAUGAUGAAGGUCUUAGGAUUGUAAAAUUCUUUCACCGGGGACGAUAAUGACGGUACCCGGAGAAGAAGCUCCGGCUAACUCCGUGCCAGCAGCCGCGGUAAUACGGAGGGGGCUAGCGUUGUUCGGAAUUACUGGGCGUAAAGCGCACGUAGGCGGAUCAGAAAGUCAGAGGUGAACUCCCAGGGCUCAACCUUGGAACUGCCUUUGAUACUGGCUGUCUUGAGUUUGGGAGAGGUGAGUGGAACUCCGAGUGUAGAGGUGAAAUUCGUAGAUAUUCGGAAGAACACCAGUGGCGAAGGCGACUCACUGGCCCAAUACUGACGCUGAGGCGCGAAAGCGUGGGGAGCAAACAGGAUUAGAUACCCCUGUAGUCC